UUUUUGUGGAAUCUGGGAAGUUUAGCUAAGAAUUAAAUGAAAAUAGUCUCAAUAUCACUUUCUCAAAGAAUUCCAAAAUCAAAAUCUCUGUUGUGGAUGAUGGGAAUUGUUCAAAGGAAGCCAAAAGCCCUAUAAAUAUUGGGUAUGAGGAAAAUGGAAAUUACUGUUUCGUGCUCAUUAAUCCCAAAGAUGAUGAUGGAAAAACCAAGUCUUUAUUUCAGGUAAUA